UACGUAGGUGGCGAGCGUUGUCCGGAUUUACUGGGCGUAAAGAGCGCGCAGGCGGCUGGUCAAGUCCGAUGUGAAAGCUCCCGGCUUAACUGGGAAAUUGCAUCGGAAACUGAUCGGCUGGAAGGUGGGAGAGGGUAGCGGAAUUCCCGGUGUAGAGGUGAAAUUCGUAGAUAUCGGGAGGAACACCGGUGGCGAAGGCGGCGACCUGGGUCGAUACUGACGCUGAGGUGCGAAAGCGUGGGGAGCAAACAGG
rnacentral:rRNA from 1 species